UACCUGGUUGAUCCUGCCAGUAGUCAUAUGCUUGUCUUAAAGAUUAAGCCAUGCAUGUCUAAGUAUAAGCAUUUAUACCGCGAGACUGCGAACGGCUCAUUAAAACAGUUAUGGUUUAUUUGAUGGUUCCUUUGCUACUUGGAUAACCGUAGUAAUUCUAGAGCUAAUACAUGCACGAAGGGGCGACUCACGAAGCCCUGUAUUUAUUAGAUUAAAGCCAACCACCUCCGGGUGUUCGUGGUGAAUCAUAGUAACUUCUCGGAUCGCCGGCUCUACGCCAGCGACGUGUCAUUCAAAUUUCUGCCCUAUCAGCUUUAGAUGGUAGGAUAUGGGCCUACCAUGGCGGUGACGGGUAACGGAGAAUUAGGGUUCGAUUCCGGAGAGGGAGCCUGAGAAACGGCUACCACUUCUAAGGAAGGCAGCAGGCGCGCAAAUUACCCAAUCCUGACUCAGGGAGGUAGUGACAAGAAAUAACAAUAAACCGGCUUAUGCCGGUUUAAUUGGAAUGAGUACACUUUAAACAUCUUAACGAGGAACAAUUGGAGGGCAAGUCUGGUGCCAGCAGCCGCGGUAAUUCCAGCUCCAAUAGC
rnacentral:rRNA from 1 species